rnacentral:rRNA from 1 species
AGAUUGAACGCUGGCGGCAUGCCUUACACAUGCAAGUCGAACGGCAGCACGGGAGCAAUCCUGGUGGCGAGUGGCGAACGGGUGAGUAAUAUAUCGGAACGUGCCCAGUCGUGGGGGAUAACGCAGCGAAAGCUGUGCUAAUACCGCAUACGAUCUAUGGAUGAAAGCGGGGGAUCGCAAGACCUCGCGCGAUUGGAGCGGCCGAUAUCAGAUUAGCUAGUUGGUGGGGUAAAAGCCUACCAAGGCGACGAUCUGUAGCUGGUCUGAGAGGACGACCAGCCACACUGGAACUGAGACACGGUCCAGACUCC